rnacentral:rRNA from 1 species
CGUGAGAUGUUGGGUUAAGUCCCGCAACGAGCGCAACCCCUAUCUUCUGUUACCAGCACGUGAUGGUGGGGACUCAGGAGAGACUGCCGCAGACAAUGCGGAGGAAGGCGGGGAUGACGUCAAGUCAUCAUGCCCCUUAUGGCUUGGGCUACACACGUACUACAAUGGCUCUUAAUAGAGGGAAGCGAAAGGGCGACCUGGAGCAAACCCCAAAAACAGAAUCCCAGUUCGGAUUGCAGGCUGCAACCCGCCUGCA